GACAGAGUUCCGGGUGCCGGGCAGCCGCUGAGAGAAGCAGAACGUGGUAGCUGGUAGUGGAAAGAGGAAAGCUGGCAUGUUCCGAAUCGAGGGCCUCGCGCCGAAGCUGGACCCCGAGGAGAUGAAACGGAAGAUGCGCGAGGAUGUGAUCUCCUCCAUACGGAACUUUCUCAUCUACGUGGCCCUGCUGCGAGUCACACCUUUUAUCCUAAAGAAACUGGAUAGCAUAUGAAGAUGAACAUCACAUGUGAAUGCAUGAUAAGAGGAACCUGGUUACAACUUCUACUCCUAUCUGCAAAUGAAUAGGCCCCGAAAGAUGUAAGAGACUCUGAAUGGACAUAAAAAUUCUACUCAUUAAGAACAAGUUUGGCCUCUGGUAACUGACCUUCAUAGCUAAAAUUUAAAACUGCUUGAGAAGUAAAGACAUUUUGUGAUGGUACACCCAUAUGCUUGUGAUGUUCAGCCUCUGUGAAUGUUGAUAUAAUUAAUUUUUCCAUGGAGAUAAAAGUUCCUGUUCUGCAAAAUAGGCUUCAUUCGUUUUGUCUCUGAAGAGAGAAAUAUCAUCAAUGUGCUGUUAGCACAAGAGAUGGAGGAAAGAAAAUCACUAAUUGAAAAUAUGUUCAUGAUACCAAGAGACUGAAGACUAAUUUUUAUGGGACAGUGCGGAAACAUCAUGGAGACUACUGCUGGAUGUUAUACAGCAAUGGGAGUUUAUAAGAUGCUUUUCUUCCCAAAAUUCAGAUUGCAUUGCCUCUGAUUAUUUGAACUGAUGACAGAGAAGCAAUAUAUAGAUCAUUUAAAAUAACAAAUACUACAAAAAAGUUUUUAGAAAUGUGAUAGAAAAGAACUAAAACAAGGAAAUAUAGGAAAUGGUGAAAUGAAUUGCUCAUCUUAAUAUCAUUAGUAAAAACUCAGCUUUUAUUUGAUUUUAGUGUACUUUUGAGUAAAAUUUAAUAGGCUUACUAUUGAAUCUUUAUGUCAACUAAAGUUUUAUAAAUGCUCAA